rfam:Drosophila grimshawi strain TSC#15287-2541.00 scaffold_15245 genomic scaffold, whole genome shotgun sequence.
ACAUUUUUAGGUCGUGAUGUGCGCAAAUAUGUUUGUAUACAUUAUUUUAAUCAUAUUGCACAUAUCCCGGCCUAUAGGUGU